ensembl:snRNA U1 U1 spliceosomal RNA
AUACUUACCUGGGAGAUACCAUGUUCACGAAGGUGGUUUUCCCAGGGAGAGGCUUAUCCAUCAUUGCACUGUGCUGUGCUGCCUCUUCGAUUUCCCCAAAUGAGGGAAACUCGACUGCAUAAUUUGUGGUAGUGGGGGACUGCGUUAGAGCUCUCUGG